rnacentral:rRNA from 1 species
GAGGGUGACCGGCCACACUGGGAUUGAGACACGUCCCAGACUCCUACGGGAGGCAGCAGUAGGGAAUUUUCGGCAAUGGGGGAAACCCUGACCGAGCAACGCCGCGUGAAGGAAGAAGUAACUCGUUAUGUAAACUUCUGUCAUAGAGGAAGAACGGUGGAUAUAGGGAAUGAUAUCCAAGUGACGGUACUCUAUAAGAAAGCUACGGCUAACUACGUGCCAGCAGCCGCGGUAAUACGUAGGUGGCGAGCGUUAUCCGGAAUUAUUGGGCGUAAAGAGGGAGCAGGCGGCACUAAGGGUCUGUGGUGAAAGAUCGAAGCUUAACUUCGGUAAGCCAUGGAAACCGUAGAGCUAGAGUGUGUGAGAGGAUCGUGGAAUUCCAUGUGUAGCGAUGAAAUGCGUAGAUAUAUGGAGGAACACCAGUGGCGAAGGCGACGAUCUGGCGCAUAACUGACGCUCAGUCCCGAAAGCGUGGGGAGCAAAUAGGAUUAGAUACCCUAGUAGUCCACGCCGUAAACGAUGAGUAC